UCUAUUUCUUUCCUUAAUAGAAAAUUGAAGAACCAUAAAUGGCUGCCCCGCAACCAAGAAAGGCAUAGCGGAAAACAAAAUCAAUUGCUUAAGCUGAAGAUGUCGGUUGUCUUGUCUUGUUUGUUUCCAUAGAAACUGGGUUUUGGCUUUUCAAGCUGCAAUCUCUAAAACACGGAGUUUGUCAUCUCAUUUAACUGCUACAAAAAGUAUCAAAGCUAUGAUACAAGGUUUAAUUAAAAGCUGACCAGGUGAUAGGGCUGGCCCUCCACAGGAAUGGAAAAACAGAAGAAGAAGAAGAAAAUAUCAGUCAAUAAUUAUACACCGCAGGGGCCAUUUCAUCCUUCACAAAUCACAGUCACCCAUAGUGACCCGUUGUCUUCACAAUACCCUUCAGCUAUAUGAAUAUAACAUUUGUAUCCCUUAUCUAUAUAACAAAUAGAAAUCAACAAAUUUA